rnacentral:rRNA from 1 species
UGGGGAAUAUUGGACAAUGGGCGAAAUCCUGAUCCAGCCAUGCCGCGUGUGUGAAGAAGGUCUUCGGAUUGUAAAGCACUUUAAGUUGGGAGGAAGGGCAGUAAGCGAAUACCUUGCUGUUUUGACGUUACCGACAGAAUAAGCACCGUCUAACUCUGUGCCAGCAGCCGCGGUAAUACAGAGGGUGCAAGCGUUAAUCGGAAUUACUGGGCGUAAAGCGCGCGUAGGUGGUUCGUUAAGUUGAAUGUGAAAGCCCCGGGCUCAACCUGGGAACUGCAUCCAAAACUGGCGAGCUAGAGUAGGGCAGAGGGUGGUGGAAUUUCCUGUGUAGCGGUGAAAUGAGUAGAUAUAGGGAGGAACACCAGUGGCGAAGGCGACCACCUGGGCUCAUACUGACACUGAGGUGCGAAAGCGUGGGGAGCAAACAGG